rnacentral:rRNA from 1 species
CCCUUAGAGUUUGAUCCUGGCUCAGAUUGAACGCUGGCGGCAGGCCUAACACAUGCAAGUCGAGCGGAUGAGGAGAGCUUGCUCUCUGAUUCAGCGGCGGACGGGUGAGUAAUGCCUAGGAAUCUGCCUGAUAGUGGGGGACAACGUUUCGAAAGGAACGCUAAUACCGCAUACGUCCUACGGGAGAGAGCAGGGGACCUUCGGGCCUUGCGCUAUCAGAUGAGCCUAGGUCGGAUUAGCUAGUAGGUGAGGUAAUGGCUCACCUAGGCGACGGUCCGUAACUGGUCUGAGAGGAUGAUCAGUCACACUGGAACUGAGACACGGUCCAGACUCCUACGGGAGGCAGCAGUGGGGAAUAUUGGACAAUGGGCGAAAGCCUGAUCCAGCCAUGCCGCGUGUGUGAAGAAGGUCUUCGGAUUGUAAAGCACUUUAAGUUGGGAGGAAGGGCAGUAAGCUAAUACCUUGCUGUUUUGACGUUACCGACAGAAUAAGCACCGGCUAACUUCGUGCCAGCAGCCGCGGUAAUACGAAGGGUGCAAGCGUUAAUCGGAAUUACUGGGCGUAAAGCGCGCGUAGGUGGUUCAGUAAGUUGAAGGUGAAAUCCCCGGGCUCAACCUGGGAACUGCCUCCAAAACUGCUGAGCUAGAGUAUGGUAGAGGGUAGUGGAAUUUCCUGUGUAGCGGUGAAAUGCGUAGAUAUAGGAAGGAACACCAGUGGCGAAGCGACUACCUGGACUAAUACUGACACUGAGUGCGAAAGCGUGGGGA